GACAGGUGGCCGAGUGGUUGAAGGCGCCGGUCUCGAAAACCGGUAAACGUUUACCCGUUUCGUGGGUUCGAAUCCCACCCUGUCC
rnacentral:tRNA from 1 species